rnacentral:lncRNA from 1 species
AUAGCUCUGUAGUAUAGUUCAAGGUCUGGUAUUGUGAUGCCUCUUGCUUCACUUUUCUUGCUAAGGAUUGCUUUAGCUAUUCUGGGUCUCUUAUUUUUCCAAAUAAAUUUUAUGAUUGCCUUUUCUAUUUCUAUGAAGAAUGUCAUUGGGAUUUUAAUAGGAAUUGCAUUAAAUCUGUAUAAUGAUUUUGGUAGUAUGGCCAUUUUGACAAUAUUAAUUCUGCCUGUC